CACAAUGACAGCUGAAACAGCCGAAAGCCUUGAAACGUCUGUGUGUGUUAGCAAGACACCCAAAAAUCAUAUAUAUUGGCACAGACUGACAGAGAAGUGAUGGAGCCACCAUCCCUGGAGUUGUUCAAGAACCGCAGAGAUGUGGCACUGAGAGACGUGGAAGAGUGGCCAAUGAAAAGUCUACGGGAACAAAACCAGCAAGAUCUGAUUGUGCCAUGUCCAUAAGAAGCAGCAAUGAGAGAUGGCGGCUCAGUGAGUAUGGUCCCAGAGAGGCUGUGAAAUACCCAUCUUUGGAGAUGUUCAAAAUUUGGCCAGACGAUGCCCGGAUCAACCUGUUUGAGUCCAGACGUUAGCACUGUUUUCUGUGGGGAUUUGGUCCAACCAGAACUCCUUCCUAGCUUACAUAGCUGUAUUUCUUGUAUCUGGUGCUUGGAGGUGCUUGCUGGCCACACAGCUUCAUACCUCCACAGUUCAAGUUCCACACCAAUGCAGAAAGUCUGUUUUCUCAUGAGGCUCCAUUGCUUUUUGAAGCAUUCCGUGUGCAUUUAUCUCCCUGCUCUCCCUGCAGGAAGGCGGGCUGGCUGGCAGCAUGCUGCAGGGAUUGAGGGGCCGAAGAAGUGGAAUGUAAACUCCAGAAUAUUGUCUGGGCUGACUCAAUGUGCCAUCAGGUGUGAGGCUUGGAUAGAGAUUUGUGGAGCUUGAUGCCGAGCCCAGACAGAGCUUGAGUUCACUUAAAAGCAUGUCCGGCUAGACACAGCCAUUGUGUCAAAUCCUGGAACAUGAAUAUCCUGUGCACUUUCAAUAAGAG
ensembl:lncRNA